rnacentral:lncRNA from 1 species
AUUCUGCUCCAACUCUACAAUAACAAAAAUAUAAACAAAUAAAGUGAAAACCAGUUUAUUGUUAUAAUUUACUUAUUCCAGAAUUUUUAUUGUUCUUAUUGUAAUUAACUAGUAUGGCGAAUAUCUUCUUACCAGCUAUAUAAUUAAAUUUGACCAAAAAUAUAUCUAAAGAAUUUAAGGUUUCAUAAGACAUGCCUAAUAUAUCUAAAGCAUUCAAUCUGCCGGCUUUAUAAUUAUAUUUGAUCAAAAAUAUAUCUAAAGUAUUUAAGGUUUGAUAAGACAUCCCUAAUUUAUCUAAAACAAUCAACCCAUUUUCAAUGUUGUAACAAAAAAAUAUAUAUAUAAAAGAAAAAGUUAUUAUUUAUUAUUUAUAUUAUCAUAUAUUUACUAUAAACAUUAUCCAGCAUUUAUUAUAAACAUUAUCAUAUAUUUACUAUUACUAUUUAUUAUCAAUAUUGUCAUACAUUUACAAUAUUAUCAUAUAUUUACUAUCAACACUACUUUAAAUAUUAUUUUUAGUACCACAUUUAUUAAGAACCACCUUAAAAAUACUCUAAUCUAUUUUUUUAGUUCGUAAAUCUGUAAAAAUAAAUAUCUUUUCAUAUAUAUCCUCUGUAUCUAUAUUUGAUGUAGAACUUUUGUGUUAUAUCUUCGCAUUUAAUUUGUUUAUGAAUUGUCUUCUUUUCCCAAAUGGCCAAAAAAUUGGAUGGUUUAAAACUUUACCGUUAUAAGUAUUUAAAAGAAACAAAAGAAAACAAUUAGAAAAAGAGAAAAAAAUUAGUUUAAUGUAUAUAUAAAUAUUGAAAAGCAAAAGUUUGAAAAACUAACCCUUUUUACGAUCUAUUUUUAAUUGUUACAAAAUCUCAUGUUCUGUGAAAGUCACCAUAGCUUUGGAAAAUAAUUUCCACCAUAGUUCUUAAAUUCUUCUAGUUAUUCUGCUCCAACUCUACAAUAACAAAAAUAUUAAUAAAUAAAAUGAAAACCAGUUUAUUGUUAUAAUUUACUUAUUUCAGAAUUUCUAUUAUUCUCAUUGUAAUUCACUAGUAUGGCGAAUAUCUUCCUACCAGCUAUAUAAUUAUAUUUGACCAAAAAUAUAUCUAGAGAAUUUAAGGUUUCAUAAGACAUGCCUAAUAUAUCUAAAUCAUUCAACCUGUCGGCUUUAUAAUUAUAUUUGAUCAAAAAUAUAUAUGGAGUAUUUAAGGUUUGAUAAGACAUGCCUAAUUCAUCUAAAACAAUCAACCUAUUUUCAAUGUAGCUACAAAAAAAAAUUAAAAAUUUAAAGGAAAAGUUAUUAUUUAUUAUAUAUUAUCAUAUAUUUACUAUAAACAUUAUAAUUCAUUUACUAUAAACAUUAUCAUAUAUUUACUAGUUACUAUCAAUAUUGUCAUACGUUUACAAAUCCGCCAUAUACAAAGAAAUUUUCUCUGUAUACGAAGCGAUUGCUGUACCUGUGAAAAUACAAUACUACAACCAGUAGUAUAGAACUGUAAGGAACAAAACAUAACAUGGUAGCAAAUAACAGUUUACUAUACAUACAACAUAUGGAUACAAAAGCUCGCCUCGCAAGAAACAGUAAUGACAGUAUGUAUAAGAACUCAAAAACUACAACUACCUAUAGCUGGUACUCCACUAGCUCUGGCUCGUCUGGUAGGGCUCUAACUCACGACGCCCUUGCCACGAUCAGGAUCAGCAGCAGCCGACGAU